rnacentral:rRNA from 1 species
CCUGACUGCUAUCGGAUUGAUACUAAGCCAUGUGAGUCAUUGUAGCAAUACAAGGCAGACGGCUCAGUAACACGUAGCCAAUCUAACCUAUGGACGGGGAUAACCUCGGGAAACUGAGGAUAAACCCCGAUAGAUCAUUAUGCCUGGAACGGUUUAUGGUCCAAACGAUUCGUCGCCAUAGGAUGAGACUGCGGCCUAUCAGCUUGUUGGUGAGGUAAUGGCCCACCAAGGCUAUUACAGGUACGGGCUCUGAGAGGAGAAGCCCGGAGAUGGGUACUGAGACACGGACCCAGGCCCUAUGGGGCGCAGCAGGCGAGAAACCUUUGCAAUGUGCGCAAGCACGACAAGGUUAAUCCGAGUGUUUCCCGCUAAAGGAAUCUUUUGCUAGUCCUAAAAACACUAGUGAAUAAGGGGUGGGCAAGUUCUGGUGUCAGCCGCCGCGGUAAAACCAGCACCUCAAGUUGUCAGGAGGAUUAUUGGGCCUAAAGCAUCCGUAGCCUGCUCUGUAAGUUUCCGGUUAAAUCCAUUUGCUCAACAAAUGGGCUGCCGGAAAAACUGCAAAGCUAGGGAGUGGGAGAGGUAGACGGUACUCGGUAGGAAGGGGUAAAAUCCUUUGAUCUAUUGAUGACCACCUGUGGCGAAGGCGGUCUACCAGAACACGUUCGACGGUGAGGGAUGAAAGCUGGGGGAGCAAACCGGAUUAGAUACCCGGGUAGUCCCAGCUGUAAACGAUGCAGACUCGGUGAUGCGUUGGCUUGUGGCCAGUGCAGUGCCGCAGGGAAGCCGUUAAGUCUGCCGCCUGGGAAGUACGUACGCAAGUAUGAAACUUAAAGGAAUUGGCGGGGGAGCACCACAAGGGGUGAAGCCUGCGGUUC